rnacentral:rRNA from 1 species
UACGGGGGGGGCAAGCGUUGUUCGGAAUCACUGGGCGUAAAGCGCACGUAGGCGGAUGUGUCAGUCAGGGGUGAAAUCCCGGGGCUCAACCUCGGAACUGCCUUUGAUACAGCACGUCUUGAGUCCGAUAGAGGUGGGUGGAAUUCCUAGUGUAGAGGUGAAAUUCGUAGAUAUUAGGAAGAACACCGGUGGCGAAGGCGGCCCACUGGAUCGGUACUGACGCUGAGGUGCGAAAGCGUGGGGAGCAAACAGG